UAGCUCAGUGGUAGAGUGCUUGCCUUGAAUGCAUGAGGCAUGAGGUUUGAUUCCUUA
rnacentral:tRNA from 1 species